UACGGAGGGUGCGAGCGUUGUCCGGAAUCACUGGGCGUAAAGGGCGCGUAGGUGGCGCGGGAAGUCAGCGGUGAAAGUUCGGGGCUCAACCCUGAAUCGGCCGUCGAUACUCCCGGGCUCGAGCACUGUAGAGGCAGAUGGAAUUCCGGGUGUAGCGGUGGAAUGCGUAGAUAUCAGGAGGAACACCGGUGGUGUAGACGGCUUUCUGGACCGACACUGACGCUGAGACACGAAAGCGUGGGUAGCAAACAGG
rnacentral:rRNA from 1 species